rnacentral:lncRNA from 1 species
CAGUGAGUUGAAUCUUCACCUGGGAGAGAAGAGAGGCCACCAAUGACUUGGAUUCUGUAUCUGGCCCAGGCUCAGGGUUAGUCAGAAGUCUGUUGAAUGGAAAUCUGUCUCCUCUGUAUCUGGGUGCCCCAUAAUUUGAGAAGCCCUGCCCUGAAUUCUGAAAUCUUCAGAUCGAGCAACCACAUUGCUGUCUGAUUUAGGUAGAGAAGAAUUCUUCUUGCUAGAGCCUCCUUUUGUCUGGCCCGGGGGAUCCUGGCUCCACUGUAGCUGUUGGCAGUGGCUUGCUGCUUGUCUGUCAUUCGAGGAACAAUCGGUGCCUGAGAACGGAAGCUCUGGAAAGGAAGCAAUGGAAGAGCGAGGAGACAACUUACAUGCAGAACGGGAGAAAGUCUUUGCCAGCUCUAUAUCCAACAGGGCAUUAAUAUCUAAGGUCUGUCUAGGACUUUUCCAUCUCCAAAAAUUAAAAACUAAGAACACACCAAUCAUUCAGGCAAUAAGUGGGCUGUUGAACUGAAUGGGCAGUUCUCGAAAGAAGAAAUACGAAUAGCUAAUAAAUACUCGAGAAAACAAAAAUCAGACACACAA